CGUCAGGGGAAGCAGUCCGCCUGUCCUGAACCUAUCAGUGUUAGCAGUGGUGAUCCCUACAACCUCCACACAAGUGGCUUGCCUUAUCUUUUGAUAAAAGCCUCAGCAAAGCAAAGCAAAGCAAACUAACCCAAAGUCUUUCUCUUUCAAGAUAACAAGGCAAACUUUAUCAAGACUACAGCCAGCUUGAUGGAGAUACCUCUCACUGGGCCCCUCGGAAUCCGCUUCUUCAGGUGCGUGACUUAGCCUGCCAUCUUGUUGUGGAGCUACUUGCUGGGGAUAAUGGUGACCCCUUCACACACGCGCUAGUUCUUGUGGAAGUCGUUGCCCAGGCACGUGUUGUACUUUUCUGUGAUGACCCGGGCCAUCUUCUUCACAGUUUUGGUGCAAACGCAACUCAUGUUGGCAGGUCCUUGGUAAAAGAGCUAGAAAAUAUUUUCUUACCUCAAGAUCCUAAACAUGCUCUUCAGUUCUAUUCUAGAAGCUUUACUACUUCACUUUUCACAUUUAGGUCCAGGAUCUAUUGCAUAUUUGUAAAUGAUGUAAGAGGUCAUGAUUCAUUAUAGAUGUAGACACAAAUGCAGAUACAGAUAGAGAUGUUAGAGAUAUCCAAUUGCUACAACAUUUAUAGAAAAGACUCUUUCCCCCACUAAACUACAGUGUUGCCUUUGUUGUAAAUCAAGUGAUUGCGUUUUGGAUAUAUUUCUAAAGUGUUUUCUUCCUUGUGGGUCAAUUGCAUCUUCUUUGCAUCAAUAUCUCACGUUGAUUAAUUAACAUUAUAGUAAUUCUUAAAGUCUAGUAGUGUAUGUCCCCUAAAUUUGUUUUUCUCUUCUUGAUUACUCUAGGUCCUUGGCAUUUCCAUACACAUUUUAGAAAAGCUUGCCAACUUCCACAAAAUCCUUUUGGGAUUAUGAUUGGAUUGCAUUGAAUCUACACAUCAACUUCGGGGAACUGACAUCUUAUCAGUAUUAAAUUUUCUGAUCCAUAAAUACGGUAGGUCACUCCAUUUAUUUAAGUAUUUUAAAAUUUCUCUCGGAACAUUUGUUUUCAGUGUAAAGUUUUAGUGUAAAGAUCUAGAACAUUGUUGUUGAUUUAUUACUAUCUAUUUAACUUUUUGAUACUAGCAUAAAUGGCAUUGCUUUUAAACUUGUUUUCCAAUUAUUUGUUGCUAGUAUUUUCUUUGUAUACAAGUCUUAACACUUGCAGAUAAAGAUAGAUUUACUUCUUCUCCAGUCUUUACUUUUAAAAUUUAAUUUUCUUGGUUUAUUACAUUAGCCAAGACCAUCAAUAAAAUGUUGACUAGAAACUCUAACAAGUGAC
rnacentral:lncRNA from 1 species